GUAGGGAAUAUUGGGCAAUGGUCGGAAGACUGACCCAGCCAUGCCGCGUGCAGGAAGACGGCCCUCUGGGUUGUAAACUGCUUUUAUCUGGGAAGAAAAAGGCCAUGCGUGGCAAAUUGCCGGUACCAGAUGAAUAAGCACCGGCUAACUCCGUGCCAGCAGCCGCGGUAAUACGGAGGGUGCGAGCGUUGUCCGGAUUUAUUGGGUUUAAAGGGUGCGUAGGCGGCUGAUAAAGUCAGCGGUGAAAGACUUCGGCUUAACCGGAGCAGUGCCGUUGAUACUGGUUGGCUUGGGUGUCGGAGGGGUACAUGGAAUUGAUGGUGUAGCGGUGAAAUGCAUAGAUACCAUCAGGAACACCGAUAGCGAAGGCAUUGUACUGGCCGACAACUGACGCUGAUGCACGAAAGUGUGGGGAUCGAACAGGAUUAGAUACCCGAGUAGUCC
rnacentral:rRNA from 1 species